rnacentral:rRNA from 1 species
CGUACAGAGAGUUGUAUCUGCUCAGGAUAGAACGCUGGCGCGGUGACUUACACAUGCAAGUCGACGACCAUAUUGAACCAGUGAUAUAUGGGUUAGUGGCGGACGGGUGAGUAACGCGUGGGUAACCUGCCUUACACAGGGGGAUAACACUUAGAAAUAGGUGCUAAAACCGCAUAAGCGCACAGCUUCGCAUGAAGCGGUGUGAAAAACUCCGGUGGUGUAAGAUGGACCCGCGUCUGAUUAGCUUGUGGCGGGGUAACGGCCCACCAAGGCGACGAUCAGUAGCCGGCCUGAGAGGGCGGACGGCUACAUUGGGACUGAGACACGGCCCAGACUCCUACGGGAGGCAGCAGUGGGGAAUAUUGCACAAUGGGGGAAACCCUGAUGCAGCGACGCCGCGUGAGUGAAGAAGUAAUUCGUUACGUAAAGCUCUAUCAGCAGGGAAGAAACACUGACCUUACGGUCAGCAGACGGUACCUGAGUAAGAAGCCCCGGCUAACUACGUG